rnacentral:rRNA from 1 species
UACGGAGGAGGCAAGCGUUAUCCGGAAUUAUUGGGCGUAAAGCGUCCGCAGGUGGCGAUUCAAGUCUGCGGUCAAAGACUGGGGCUUAACCCUGGAAAGGCCGUGGAAACUGAAUAGCUAGAGUGCAGUAGGGGUAGAGGGAAUUCCCGGUGUAGCGGUGAAAUGCGUAGAGCUCGGGAAGAACAUCGGUGGCGAAAGCGCUCUGCUGGACCUGUACUGACACUGAGGGACGAAAGCUAGGGGAGCGAAUGGG